AAUUGGACACAUGGAUAUUUCCAGGUCAUUCAACAUAGCUCACAGAAGGUCAAUGAAGUUCUUGGAGCUGAUUUUUCCAAGUGCCAUUCCUCUGAAACAUAAAUGUCUGCUACGCGAGAUUACUGAGAAGUGAGCCUGUGACAUCUGAUACAAAUCUUGCUACAGAUGCAGAAGUGGUGUAAACAAGGUGACAACAAGAACAUGAAGAGGGACUAGUGAUGACAUGUAAAUAGUAUCUAAAGAGGUGAGCUUGAAAGCACCAGGCAUAAAAUUGCUCUUUACUGGUGUCCUACAUAUCUUUGCUUCUUGAUGUAUUUCAAGCAGCAAAUGCAAGCACUUAAUAAUGUU